UAACAGUCGUCACAGACAGAGUGCGCUUCCAUUUCUUUUGUGACGACGUGCCUCUCUAAACACCAGCUCUUCUCGUUCUGUCCGUAAAAGACAAAGAAACAUGUCCGACGAAGGAAAACUUUUCGUCGGUGGCCUGAGCUUCGACACAACAGAAGAAUCUCUGGCUGAAGCUUUCGCUAAGUAUGGAAACAUAGCAAAAGUUGAUGUCAUCAGGGACAAAGAAACGGGUAGAUCUCGUGGAUUCGGCUUCGUGAAGUACGAUAAUGCCGAGGAUGCGAAGGAUGCAUUGGAUGGCAUGAACGGCAAGUCAGUUGACGGCAGAACAAUUCGUGUGGACGAGGCAGGCAAGGGUGGUGGUCGUUCUGGAGGCGGAGGUGGUGGAUUCAGAGGGUCCAGAGGCGGUGGUGGAUAUGGCGGUGGAGGUGGAUAUGGAGGGGGGAGAGGAAGAGGUGGGCGAGUUUACUCGCGAGGUGGUGGAGGAUAUGGUGGUGGUGGUGACAGGGGAUAUGGUGAGAGGAGCUAUGGCGGUGGUGGCGGAGACCGGAGCUAUGGCGGUGGUGGCGGAGACCGGAGCUAUGGAAGUGGUGGUGGUGGUGGCUACAGGAGCGGCGGUGGCGGAGGAUACUCUUCUGGUGGCGGAGGAUACAGGGACAAUAGGGGCCAGGGAGGCUACGGGGAUCGCUCUGGGGGAUCCUACAGAGACAGCUACGACAGUUAUGGGUGAGUUAACUUUUUGGAGACUGAACUCUCCAGUGUGUCAGAUGGUGAUAAACUGGAAUCUUCUGCAGCAGUCUUCCAGGUCCAGUGUCUGGAGGUGAUGUGAGCAGCAGUGGCGUCAACACAACCCAGUACUCUGCAUUGGCUAAGUGGUGUCUUCAAUGCAGUCACUGGUUCCCAGGAGUUUUGGGCAAACAUGUUUUCCCAUCUUAAUCAUUAUGUAUAGAGAUCCUACAAGCUGCAUCUCUUUGGGGAAACUGCUUUAGGUAGGGUGAUUUGUCUAUGGGACACCAUACUAACAUGUUAUAAAAAAUAAAAUGGAAAGAUACUCUCCUCGUGUUUGUUCAUAGCUCUAGACGGAUGUAGUCAAUAGUUUAACCUCUUCCAAUAACUAGUAAAUAAACUAAUUUUAUUUAACCAGGUAGGCUAGUUGAGAACAAGUUCUCAUUUACAACUGCGACCUGGCCAAUAAAGCAUAGCUGUGUGAACAGACGGCAACACAGUUACACAUGGAGUAAACAAACCAAUAGCACAGGAAAAAGACUAUAUACAUUGUGUGCAAAAGGCAUGAGGUAGAUGAAUAAUUACAAUUUUUGGCAGAUUAACACGAGUGAUAAAUGAUCAGAUGGUCAUGUGCAGGUAGCGAUACUGGUGUGCAGAAAAGUAAAUAACUAUGGGGAUGAGGUAGUUAAAUUGGGUGGGCUAUUUACCGAUGGACUGCGUGCAGCGAUCGGUUAGCUGCUCAGAUGGCAGAUGUUUAAAGCUGGUGAGGGAAAUAACUCUUCAGCGAUUUUAUUUUUUUUGCAAUUCGUUCCAGUCACAAGCAGAGAACUGGAAGGAAAGGCGGCCAAAUUCGGUGUUAGCUUCGGGAUGAUCAGUGCGAUACACCUGCAGGAGCGCAUGCUACGGGUGGGUGUUGCCAUUGUGAACUGAGAAGACUGAGCUUUACUUGUAGAUGACCUGGAGCCAGUGGGUCUGGCAACGAGUAUGUAGCGAGGGCCAGCCGACUAGAGCAUACAGGUCGCAGUGGUGGGUGGUAUAAGGUGCUUUAGUAACAAAGCGGAUGGCACUGAUUAACUGCAUUCAGUUUGCUGAGUAGAGUAUUGGAAGCUAUUUUGUAAUUGACAUCGCCAAAGUCAAGGAUCGGUAGGAUAGUCAGUUUUACAAGGGUAUGUUUGCCAGCGUGAGUGAAGGAAGCUUUGCUGCGAAAUAGGAAGCUGACUAGAUUUCAUUUAUGAGUCUGGAAGGAGUUUACAGUAGCCAGACACCUAGGUACUUAAAGAUGUCCACAUAUUCUGGGUCGGAACCAUCCAGGGUGGUGAUACUAGUUGGGCGUGCGGGUGCAGGCAGCGCACUGUUGAAAAGCAUGCAUUUAGUUUUACUAGCGUUUAAGAGCAGUUGGAGGCCACGGAAGGAGUGUUGUAUGGCGUUUAAGCUUGUUUGGUGGUUAGCAUAGUGUCCAAGGGAGGGCUAGAAGUAUACAAAAUGGUGUUGUCUGCUUAGAGGUGGGUCAGGGAAUCGCCCGCAGCAAGAGCGACAUUGAUAUAUACAGAGAAAAGAGUCGGCCCGAGAAUUGAACCCUGUGGCACCCCCAUAGAGACUGCCAGAGGACCGGACAACAUGCCCUCUCAUUUAACACAAUGAACUGUUUGCAAAGUAGUUGGUGAAACAGGCAAGGCAGUCAUUAGAAAAACCGAGGCUACUGAGUCUGCCGAUAAGAAUAUGGUGAUUGACAGAGUUGAAACCCUUGGCCAGGUCGAUGAAGACGGCUGCACAGUACUGUCUUAUCAAUGGCGGUUAUGAUAUUGUUUAGUACCUUGAGCGUCGCUGAGGUGCACCCGUGACCGGCUCAGAAACCAGAUUGCACAGCGGAGAAGAUUCGAGAUGGUCAGUGAUCUGUUUGUUGACUUGGCUUUCAAAGACCUUAGAUAGGCAGGGCAGGAUGGAUAUAGGUCUGUAACUGUUUGGGUCCAGGGUGAAGACCGCGGCAGCUUUCCAGUCCUUGGGGAUCUCAGGCGAUAUGAAAGAGGGGUUGAACAGGCUGGUAAUAGGGGUUGUGACAAUAGCAGGGAAUAGUUUCAGAAAUAGAGGGUCCAGAUUGUCAAGCCCAGCUGAUUUGUACGGGUCCGGGUUUCGCAACUCUUUCAUUACAUCUGCUAUCUGGAUUUGGGUAAAGGAGAAGCUGGGGAGGCUUGGGCGAGUAGCUGUGGGGGGUAGCCAGGAGGAAGGCAUGGCCAGCCGUUGAGAAAUGCUUGUUGGAAAGUUUUCGAUUGUCAUGGAUUUAUCGGUGGUGACCGUGUUACCUAGCCUCAGUGCAGUGGGCAGCUGGGAGGAGGUGCUCUUCUCCAAGGAGGACUUUACAGUGUCCCAGAACUUUUUGGAGUUAGGGCUGCAGGAUGCAAAUUUCUGCUUGAAAAAGCUGGCCUUUGCUUUCCUGACUGACUGCGUGUAUUGGUUCCUGACUUCCCUGAACAGUUGCAUAUCGCAGGGACUAUUCGACCCUAUUGCAGUCCGCCACAGAAUGUUUUUGUGCUGGUCGAGGGCAGUCAUGUCUGGAGUGAACCAGGGGCUGUAUCUGUUCUUAGUUCUGCAUUUUUUGAACGGAGCAUGCUUAUCUAAGAUGGUGAGGAAGUUACUUUUAAAGAAUGACCAGGCAUCCUCAACUGACGGGAUGAGGUCAAUAUCCUUCCAGGAUACCCGGUCCAGAUAGAUUAGAAAGGCCUGCUCGCAGAAGUGUUUUAGGGAGCGUUUGACAGUGAUGAGGGGUGGUCGUUUGACUCCGGACCCGUAGCGGAUACACGCAAUGAGGCAGUGAUCGCUGAGAUCCUGAUUGAAGACAGAGGUGUAUUUGGAGGGCCAGUUGGUCAGGAUAAUGUCUAUGAGGGUGCCCAUGUUUACAGAUUUAGGGUUGUACCUGGUGGGUUCCUUGAUGAUUUGUGUGAGAUUGAGGGCAUCUAGCUUCGAUUGUAGGACUGCCGGGGUGUUGAGCAUAUCCCAGUUUAGGUCACCUAACGGAACAAACUCUGAAGCUAGAUGGGGGCGAUCAAUUCACAAAUGGUAUCCAGGGUACAGCUGGGAGCUGAGGGGGGUCGGUAGCAGGCGGCAACAGUGAGAGACUUAUUUCUGGAGAGAUUAAUUUUUAAAAUUAGAAGGUCGAACUGUUUGGGUAUGGACCUGGAAAGUAUGACAUUACUUUGCAGGCUAUCUCUGCAGUAGACUGCAACACCUCCCCCUUUGGCAGUUCUAUCUUGACGGGAAAUGUUAUAGUUGGGUAUGGAAAUCUCAGAAUGUUUGGUGGCCUUCCUAAGCCAGGAUUCAGUCACAGCAAGGACAUCAGGGUUGGCAGAGUGUGCUAAAGCAGUGAGUAAAAAAACGUAGGGAGGAGGCUUCUGAUGUUGACAUGCAUGAAACCAAGGCUUUUUCGAUCACAGAAGUCAACAAAUGAGGGUACCUGGGGACAUGCAGGGCCUGGGUUUACCUCUACAUCACCCGCGGAACAGAGGAGGAGUAGGAUGAGGGUGCGGCUAAAGGCUAUCAAAACUGGUCGCCUAGAGUGUUGGGGACAAAGAAUAAAAUGAGCAGCUUUCUGGGUGUGGUAGAAUAUAUUCAGGGAAUAAUGCACAGCCAGGGGUAUGGUGGGGUGCAGGUACAGCAGAGGUAAGCCCAGGCACUGGGUGAUGAUAAGAGAUGUUGUGUCUCUGGACAUGCUGGUUGUAAUGGGUGAGGUCACCGCAUGUGUGGGAGGUGGGACAAAGGAGGUAUCAGAGGUAUGAAGAGUGGAACUAGGGGGUCCAUUGUAAACUAAAACAAUGAUAACUAACCUGAACAACAGUAUGCAGGGCAUAUUGACAUUUGAGAGAAGACAGUGAGGCAUAAAGUAAUCGCAGGUGUUGAUUGGGAGAGAUAGCUAAAACAACAGCUAAUCAGCUAACACAACAACAGCAGGUAAAAUGGCGAUGACUUGGCAGAGAGGGUCGGAUUAACUACACACAGAGCUUGAGUUCGCGGCUGGGGCCGACAGAUUAAAAAAAAAUAAACAGAAUGGAGUACCGUGAUUAAUGGACAGUCCAGCAGGCAUCAGCUAUGUAGCCAACUGAACAUAGUGUCCAGGGGGCAGCAGUAGACUGAACAGGGGAGCCGCCACUACGCUAGCGACACGGCGUUUAAAGUUAGUAGCCCUGGGCUAGUAAGAGCGUCUGCUCCGGCGGAGGCCGGAUGAAGGCACAGCGGAUGGAGUAUUCGUCGGCAGACCAGUCAUGGUGGUGCGGCGGGGCGCCGCGUUGACAGAAUCCAAGCCAGAUGGCGUAAGAGGUAUUGUGGAAUUUAGUUAUGUCUCUAUGUACAUUUAGUGAUUUAGCAGACGCUCUUAUCCAGAGUGACUUACAGGUGCAAUUAUGGUGAAGCUCAAGGGCAGAUUUUUCACGUAGUUAGCUCAGGGAUUUGACCCAACGACCUUUUGGUUACUGGCACUAUGCUCUUAACUGUUACGCCAACAAUAAGAUAUAUUGUGAACUUCAAUGAAGUCAUAGACUGUAACCAAUCCCAUGUUUUAAGGGUAUAAACUCAGCAAAAAAAGUAAUGUCCUCAUUGUCAACUGUUUAUUUUCAGUAAACUUAACAUGUAAAUAUUUGUAUGAACAAGAUUCAACAACUGAGACAUAAACUGAACAAGUUCCACAGACAUGUGACUAACAUAAAUGGAAUAAUGUGUCCCUAAAGAAGGAGGGGGUGUCAAAAUCUAAAUUAACUGUCAGUAUCUGGCGUGGCCACCAGCUGCAUUAAUACUGUGGUGCGUCUCCUUGUGGAUUGCACUAGAUUUGUCAAUUCUUGCUGUGAGAUGUUACCCGCUCAAGGCACCUGCAAGUUCCCGGACGUUUCUGGGGGGAAUAGCCCUCACACUCCGAUGGGAUUGAGAUCCAGGUUCUUCGCUGGCCAUGGCAGAACAUUGACAUUCCUGUCUUGCAGGAAAUCACUCACAGAAUGAGCAGUAUGGCUGGUGGUGUUUUGCUGGAGGGUCAUGUCAGGAUCAGCCUACAGGAAGGGUACCACAUGAGGGAGGAGGAUGCCUUCCCUGUAAAGAACAGCGUUGAGAUUGCCUGCAAUGACUAGCUCAGUCCGAUGAUGCUGUGACACCGCCCCAGACCACGACGGACCCGCCACCUCCAAAUCGAUCCCGCUCCAGAGUACAGGCCUCGGUGUAACGCUCAUUCCUUCGAUGAUAAACGUGAAUCUGACCAUCACCCCUGGUGAGAGAGAACCUCAACUCAUUAGUGAGCACUUUUUGCCAGUCCUGUCUGGUCCAGCAAUGGUGGGUUUGUGCCCAUAGGUGACUUUGCUGGUGAGGACCUGCCUCACAACAGGCCUAGAAGCCCUCAGUCCAGUCUCUCAGCCUGUUGCGGACAGUCUGAGCACUGAUGGAGGGAUUGUGCGUUCCUGGUGUAACUCGGGCAGUUGUUGCCAUCCUGUACCUGUCCUGCAGGUGUGAUGUUCGGAGGUACCAAUCCUGUGCAGGUGUUGUUACACAUGGUCAGCAACUGCGAGGAUGAUCAGCUGUCCGUCCUGUCUCCCUGCCUCCUUGCAGCAUGCCUAACACGGAACCCAAACUGGCUGCACGCGUGCGCCAUCGUGCAUAAAUGUAUUUUGUUCCCCUACACCAAACGCGAUCACGACAAACUGAGCCAAUUACAUUUAAUUUGGGAACAGGUCGAAAAGCAUUCAACAUUUACGGUAAUUUAGCUAGUUUCUAGCUAAUUCGUCCUGGGAUAUUAACAUUGAGUUGUUAUUUUACCCGAAAUGCACAAGGUCCUCUACUCUGCCAAUUAAUCCACACAUAAAAUGGUCAACCAAUAAUUUCUAGUCAUCUCUCUUUUUCCAGGCGUUGUCUUCUCUUGACUUUACAUUGCGAUUGGCAACUUUCAUAAAUUAGGUGCAUAACCGCCACUGACCUUGUUCAUCUUUCAGUCACCUACGUGGGUAUAACCAAUGAGGAGAUGGCAUGUGAGUACCUGCUUAUAUAAACCAAUGAGGAGAUGGGAGAGGCAGGACUUGCAGCAUGAUCUGCGUCACAAAUAGAAAGGACUUCUAUUUUAGCCCUUGGCAACGCAGACGCUCGUUGGCGCGUGCGUGCAAUGAGUGCAAUAACUGAAUAACAGAUUUCUAAAUUUAUUUUGCGACGCGAGCAGUGUGGUUAGCCUGUAAGGCUUGUUCACGCAGAUGAGCGAUGACCCUAGGCAUCUUUCUUUUGGUGUAUUUCAGAGUUGGUAGAAAGGCCUCGUUAGUGUCCAAAGCUUUCAUAACUGAUCUUAAUUGCCUACGUCUGUAAGCUGUUGGUAUCUUACCUGUUCCAAAUGUGCAUGUUUAUUAAUUGUUUAUGGUUUAUUGGACAUGCAUGGAAAACAGUCUUUAAACCCUUUACAAUGAAGAUCUGUAAAGUUAUUUGGAUUUUCAUGAAUUAUCUUUGAAAGACAGGGUCCUGAAAAGGGGACAUUUAUUUUUUUGCUGAGUUUAGGUGGUGUCUGGUUCAUACAGUCAUGAAAAUGCUGGGAAAAUCAUGGAAUUUUAUCCAGGUGUUUUCCAGGCCUGGAAAGGUUUUGGAAAAUGAUACAAAUCUGAAAAGUAAUGGAAAUUAAUACCUGUUAAUGUAAUUGCUUAAAAUGUUUAAAAAAUGCACCUAUCAACCAAUAAAUCCACAUAUCAGCCAAGAUCAAUAGUGUGUAAGCACACUCGUAGGGUUCGGCUAGCCCAGUUCGGUUAAGACGUCAGCAUGCUACAGUUCGGCUAGCACCUAGCCAAACCAUAAGGGCUGUUUCGUGUCGGCUUACCCUGGUGUGAAGUUUUGAUAACCGUGUAUACAGUGCAUUCGGAAAGUAUUCAGACCCCUUGACUCCCCUCACCAAUCUACACACAAUACCCCACCAUGACAAAGCAAAAACAGGUUUUUAGAAAUAUAUUUACAUAAGUAUUCAGACCCUUUACUCAGUACUUUGUUGGAGCGCUUUUUGCAGAGAUUUUACACAGCCUCGAGGCUAUUUGGGUAUGAUGCUACAAGCUUGGCACACCUGUUUUGGGGAGUUUCUCCCAUUCUUCUCUGCAGAUCCUCUCAAGCUCUGUCAGGUUGAAUGGGAGGCGUUGCUGCACAGCUAUUUUCAGUUCUCUCCAGAGAUGUUUUUUUGGGGGGGUUGGAAUUUUUACCCCUUUUUCUCCCCAAUUUCGUGGUGUCCAAUUGUUGUAGUAGCUACCAUCUUGUCUCAUCGCUACAACUCCUGUACGGGCUCGGGAGAGACGAAGGUUGAAAGUCAUGCGUCCUCCGAUACACAACCCAACCGAGCCGCACUGCUUCUUAACACAGCGCGCAUCCAACCCGGAAGCCAGCCGCACCAAUGUGUCGGAGGAAACACCGUGCACCUGGCAACCUUGGUUAGCACUGCGCCCGGCCCGCCACAGGAGUCGCUGGUGCGCGAUGAGACAAGGACAUCCCUACCGACCAAGCCCUCCCUAACCCGGACAACGCUAUGCCAAUUGUGCGUCGCCCCAUGGACCUCCCGGUCGCGGCCGGUUACGACAGAGCCUGGGCGCGAACCCAGAGUCUCUGAUGGCACAGCUGGCGCUGCAGUACAGCGCCCUUAACCACUGAGAUGUUUGAUCGGGUACAAGUCCGGCCUCUGGCUGGGCCACUCAAGGACAUUCAAAGAAUGUCCCAAAGCCACUCCUGCGUUGUCUUGGCUGUGUGCUUAGAGUUGUUGUCCUUUUGGAAAUUGAACCUUCGCCCCAGUCUGAGGUCCUGAGCACUCUUGAGCAGGUUUUCAUCAAUGAUCUCUGUACUUUUCUCCAUUCAUCACCACCAGGCUUCACCAUAUGGAUGGUGUCUGGUUUCCUCCAGACGUGAUGCUUGGCAUUCAGGCCAAAGAGUUCAAUCUUGGUUUCAUCAGACCAGAGAAUCUUGUUUCUCAUGGUUUAGGUACCUUUUGGCAAAAUCCAAGAGGGCUGUCGUGUGCCCUUUACUGAGGAGUGGCUUCUGUCUGGCCACUCUACCAUAAAGGCCUUAUUGAUGGAGUGCUGCAGAGAUGGUUGUCCUUCUAGAAGGUUCUCCCAUCUCCACAAAGGAACUCUGGAGCUCUGUCAAAGUGAUCAUCGGGCUCUUGGUCAACAGCCCGACGAAGGCCCUUCUCCCCCGAUUGCUCAGUUUGGCCGGGCAGCCAGCUCAAUAUUAGAAUAAGGCUAUAACAUAACAAAAUGUGGAAACGGUAAAGGCGUAGGGAAUACUUUCCGAAUGCACUGUAUCUCUCUUGGACAAGGUGACUUAUCAAUAUGAUCACCGAUAAUGACGAGACAGCCUAUAGGGAGGAGGUCAGAGACCUGACGGGGGGUGCAAGAAUAACAACCUAUCCCUCAACGUAACCAAGACUAAGGAGAUGAUUGUGGACUAUAGGAAAAGGAGGACUGAGCACGCCCCAAUUCUCAUCAGGGCUGUAGUGGAGCAGGUUGAGAGCUUCAAGUUUCUUGGUGUCCACAUCACCAACAAACUAGAAUGGUCCAAACACACGAAGACAGUCGUGAAGAGGGGACGACAAAGCCUAUUCCCCCUCAGGAAACUAAAAAGAUUUGGCAUGGGUCCUGAGAUCCUCAAAAGGUUCUACAGCUGCAACAUCGAGAACAUCCCGUACGGUUGCAUCACUGCCUGGUACGGCAAUUGCUCGGCCUCCGACUGUAAGGUACUACAGAGGGUAGUGCGCACGGCCCAGUACAUCACUGGGGCAAAGCUGCCUGCCAUCCAGGACCUCUACACCAGGCGGUGUCAGAUGAUGGCCCUAACAAUUAUCAAAGACCCCAGCCUCCCCAGUCAUAGACUGUUCCCUCUACUACCGCAUGGCAAGCGGUACCGGAGUGCCAAGUCUUGGACAAAAAGGCUUCUCAACAGUUUUACCCCCAAGCCAUAAGACUCCUGAACAGGUAAUCAAAUGGUUACCCAGACUAUUUGCAUUGUGUGCCUCCCCCAACCCCUCUUUUACGCUGCUGCUACUCUCUGUUUAUCAUAUAUGCAUAGUCACUUUAACUAUACAUUCAUGUACAUACUACCUAAAGCCUAGUGGUUAGAGCGUUGGACUAGUAAUCUGUCGUUCUGCCCCUGAACAGGCAGUUAACCCACUGUUCCUAGGCUGUCAUUGAAAAUAAGAAUUUGUUCUUAACUUACUUGCCUAGUUAAAUAAAGGUAAAAAAUAAAUAUGCAGUCACUUUAACCAUAUCUACAUGUACAUACUCAAUCAGCUUGACUAACCGGUGUCUGUAUGUUGCCUCGCUACUGUUAUUAUUCACUGUCUUUUUAGUGUUGUUUUUAUUUCUUUACUUACCUAUUGUUCACCUAAUACCUUUUUUGCACUAUUGGAUAGAGCCUGUAAGUAAGCAUUUCAUUGUAAGGUCUACCUGUUGUAUUCGGCGCACGUGACAAACAAACUUUGAUUUGAACACAGAUAAGUAAAUUAUCUUAUUAUUACUGUGGCAAUGAUGCACCUUAGGUGCGGCUCUUCACAUGCUCUCUCCAAACUCCUUCCAGUGGAGGGUAAUUUUUUUCCUCUUGUUGAAAUGUUGGCUGUUGCUUUCACACGUUUAAAUGCAUAGGCCCUAUGUGGUAAAUCUAUAUUCCAUCUAAUACUACAAUAAUUGCUAGCAUUUCAUCAUUCCAUCCCGUACCGUUUAUUGCAACAAGUAGGCAUUUCUGUUCCAUGUUUGAUAGGCCUACAAAUACAUUUCCAUUUAACCAACCAUUUGUUACCCUGCUCUGAGUGGGUGCAAUGUUUAUUGUGCACAUGAAAGUUCAUAAAACUCAUUAGGUAUGUUGGGUACUGAAAUAUACUUAUUCAUGUCAGUGAGGGAGAGAGAGUAAUGUAUAACGUUUACAUUAUGUCAGGAUAUGUUAUUGUUAGCCAUCAGGGAUCCUAUGGGAGGGAUCCUCUGGGAGGAGAGGAGACACAGUCUGGUACCAGUCACCAUGACAGCCGUGAGUUGGGGAGGAGUGAGCAUUUUGGGUCGAGGUCAGGUCAGAUGAAGUGAGGAAGAACAGAUAUCACUAAGGUUCUGUCUAGCAACAGAGAUGCAUUGGCUGUUCAGAUGUGUAGGAGGAGACUCGGCAUAGGAGAAAGGGUUAAAUAUCAGUGCUUGUGUGAAAAUGUUUUUGUCUGUUCAGCUGUUCAAUCCUUUCCGAAGAAUAAACUUGGUUUACGCUUU